GCUGAACUUGUGACCAACCAGGCAAUCUUUCAGGGAGACUCUGAGCUCCAACAGCUCCUCCAUAUUUUCAAGUUGUUUGGGACACCCAAUGAAGAAAUGUGGCCUGGCGUGAACACACUCAAGAACUGGCAUGAAUACCCACAGUGGAAACCCUCGAGUCUCUCCUCAGCUGUUCCAAACCUCGACGAGGCUGGACUUGAUCUUCUCUCUAAAAUGCUGCAGUACGAGCCAGCGAAACGAAUCUCAGCGAAGAUGGCUAUGGAGCAUCCUUACUUUAAUGAUCUGCCAGACAAGUCUUCUCUCUAAGGAUUUAAAUCUUCAGUUAGUAUCUUUCCCAGUUUUAUUGUUUUGCUUCUUUCUAGCAUAUCUCUAGUGUGCUGCUUCCCCCUCUAGGAAUCAUCCUUCUUUCAAGCAGAAUAUCACUUCUGAUUGUUGUUUCUUUCUGUUCGAAUAUUUGUAUCAAACGGCUUUAACGUCUUGAGAAUAUAUAAAAAUUUGCAAUUAUGCA